rnacentral:misc_RNA from 1 species
GAUGAAGAACGCAGCGAAAUGCGAUAACUAAUGUGAAUUGCAGAAUUCAGUGAAUCAUCGAGUCUUUGAACGCACAUUGCGCCCCCUGGUAUUCCGGGGGGCAUGCCUGUCCGAGCGUCAUUGCUGCCCUCAAGCACGGCUUGUGUAUUGGGCUCCGUCCCCCCGGGGACGGGCCCGAAAGGCAGCGGCGGCACCGAGUCCGGUCCUCGAGCGUAUGGGGCUUUGUCACCCGCUCUGUAGGCCCGGCCGGCGCCAGCCGACAACCCAUCAUCCUUUUCAGGUUGACCUCGGAUCAGGUAGGGAUACCCGCUGAACUUAAGCAUAUCAAUAAGCGGAGGA